rnacentral:lncRNA from 1 species
UUUAGAGUAAGGUCAGAGAAAAAAAACGCAAAACAGUUUUUUUUUUUUGGUAAGGUAACGCAAAUAAGAUCAAAGACUAAACACAAUAACAAAUUAAAAUAGAGUUAAAACGCAAAAAGAUGAAGUGAAAUAGAGAUCUAAAGAAAAUAGAGUAAGAAGUGAAAUCAAGCUUGAUAAAUGGAGUGAACUCAAAUAAAACGAAAAUGGUACUCAAAUUUAGGGGUGUGCAAAACAUCUGAGUCAGAUCUAAAAACACAGUUCAUAGUUGAGCUUGUGGUGACUGCAAAUUGCUCCAGAAGAUGAUUUAACAGUGAAGAAGGUGAAAAGAGAGUGGGUAAGUAAGAUGGAAUAGUGGUGGUGGUGUGGAUUUGGAGGGGCUAGGACGAUGUGUAUAUGGUGGUGGUGGUGUGGAUUUGGAAAGGGAAAAAGUUUGAGAAGAGAGAGAUGAGAGGUUGUGUUGUUGUUGAGCUUGAGAGAGAAAUGAGAGGUUGAGUUUUGGUCUUACAAAUCAACUCACGUGUAUCUAUGUUUCACAACUCACAAGAAAAAAA